rnacentral:rRNA from 1 species
UUAAAAAGCUCGUAGUUGAAUUUCUGGUCAGUUGUAGUCUUGGCUUCGGUCGGGCUACGGCUGGUCAUCCGUUUGCAAGCUGCUCUCGGCCUUCACUGGUUCGGAGUAGUGAGCUGACAAUUUACUUUGAAAAAAUUAGAGUGUUUCAGGCAGGCUUUUGCCCGAAUACAUUAGCAUGGAAUAAUGGAAUUGGACUUAGGUUCAUUUGGUUGGUUAUUGGAUCUGAGUAAUGGUUAAUAGGGGACCAGNUUUUGGGGGGGGGCCCAUUUAAAGGUUAAUNUUUUAAAUUUUUGUUUCCAAGGAGGGGUGAAAAAUUCCUUGGGAAUUUUUUUAAAAGAACUAACCUUAUGCGAAAGCAUUUGCCAAGGAUGUUUUCAUUAAUCAAGAACGAAAGUUAGGGGAUAAAAGAUGAUCAGAUACCAUUGUAUUCUUAACUAUAAACUAUACCGACUCGGAAUUGGUAGGGUAUCUUAGCUCUAUCAGCACCGUAGGAGAAAUCAAAGUCUUUGGGUUCUGGGGGGAGUAUAGUCGCAAGGGCUGAAACUUAAAAGG